AUGCCAGAUAUUAUAUACUUUGGGCAAUCCGGCUUCAUUAGAGGGAGAGGGAUUGCUGAUAACUUCCUCCUUGCCGCCGACAUCGUCCAAACGUGUUUCAAAAGGAAAAAACCAUCUAUCGUCCUCAAACUGGACUUUCAUAAAGCCUUUGAUUCAGUCUCCUGGGACGCCCUAACCGCCAUCCUACGUGCCAAAGGCUUUCCUUUGCGCUGGGAUGGUUGGAUUCGAUCUCUCAAAGAUUCCGCAAACUCCGCCAUCUUGCUAAAUGGACGACCCGGCCCGUGGUUCCCAUGCAAAUGUGGGCUUAGGCAAGGGGAUUCCCUCUCCCUGUACCUUUUCCUGGUGAUCGCUGACGUUCUUCAACGUAUGAUC
rnacentral:rRNA from 1 species